rnacentral:rRNA from 1 species
GAUGAACGCUGGCGGCGUGCUUAACACAUGCAAGUCGAACGAUGAAGCCCAGCUUGCUGGGUGGAUUAGUGGCGAACGGGUGAGUAACACGUGAGUAACCUGCCCUUAACUCUGGGAUAAGCCUGGGAAACUGGGUCUAAUACCGGAUAGGAGCGUCCACCGCAUGGUGGGUGUUGGAAAGAUUUAUCGGUUUUGGAUGGACUCGCGGCCUAUCAGCUUGUUGGUGAGGUAAUGGCUCACCAAGGCGACGACGGGUAGCCGGCCUGAGAGGGUGACCGGCCCAACGGGGACCAAGAGACGGCCCAGAUCCCUGCGGGAGGCAGGAGGGGGGAAUUUUGCACAAGGGGCGCAAGCCUGUGGCAGCAACGCCGCGGGGGGGAAGACGGCCUUCGGGUGUAAAACCUCUUUCAGUAGGAAAAAAGCGAAAGGGGCGGUACCUGCAGAAGGAGCACCGGCUAACUACGU